UGCCAGCCGCCGCGGUAAUACGAAGGGGGCUAGCGUUGUUCGGAAUUACUGGGCGUAAAGCGCACGUAGGCGGAUCGUUAAGUGAGGGGUGAAAUCCCGGGGCUCAACCCCGGAACUGCCUUUCAUACUGGCGAUCUGGAGUUCGAGAGAGGUGAGUGGAAUUCCCAGUGUAGAGGUGAAAUUCGUAGAUACUGGGAAGAACACCAGUGGCGAAGGCGGCUAACUGGCUCGGUACUGACGCUGAGAUGCGAAAGCGUGGGGAGCAAACAGGAUUAGAUA
rnacentral:rRNA from 1 species